AGUGAACGCUGGCGGCAUGCCUAACACAUGCAAGUCGAACGGCAGCACAGUAAGAGCUUGCUCUUACGGGUGGCCGGUGGCGGACGUGUUAGAAAUACAUCUGAAUCGACGUUUUCGAUGGGGCUAACGUAGGGAAGCUUAUACUACUACCGCAUACGACCUGCGGGUGAAAGCAGUUGAUCUUCGGACCUUUCGCGAUGGAAUGAGCCGAUGUCGGAUUAGCUAGUUGGCGGGGUAAAGGCCUACCAAGGCGACGAUCCGUAGCUGGUCUGAGAGGAUGAUCAGCCACACUGGGACUGAGACACGGUCCAGACUCCUACGGGAGGCAGCAGUGGGGAAUAUUGGACAAUGGGCGAAAGCCUGAUCCAGCAAUGCCGCGUGUGUGAAGAAGGCCUUCGGGUUGUAAAGCCCUUUUGUUCGGAAAGAAAACCAGCACGUUAAUACAGCGGGGUUAUGACGGUACCGAAAGAAUAAGCACCGGCUAACUUCGUG
rnacentral:rRNA from 1 species